UACGGAGGGGGCUAGCGUUGUCCGGAAUCAUUGGGCGUAAAGCGCGCGUAGGCGGCCCGGUAAGUCCGCUGUGAAAGUCAAAGGCUCAACCUUUGAAUGUCAGCGGAUACUGCCGGGCUAGAGUCCGGAAGAGGCGAGUGGAAUUCCUGGUGUAGCGGUGGAAUGCGCAGAUAUCAGGAGGAACACCAACGGCGAAGGCAGCUCGCUGGGACGGUACUGACGCUGAGGCGCGAAAGCGUGGGGAGCGAACAGG
rnacentral:rRNA from 1 species